rnacentral:misc_RNA from 1 species
AAGUCGUAACAAGGUCUCCGUAGGUGAACCUGCGGAGGGAUCAUUAACACGUUUUAAAACACGUUUUAACUACACCAACCAACCACGUGAACUAUUUAACACUCCUGGAAGAGAAAGAAUUCUGUCUCCUCUCACUAAUGAUGAGUUUCUUUUUUUGUUUUGCUUUACCGUGAGACAAAAACAGAAGCAGUGAGUUUAGACUAGCAUUGCAGUUAAGAGCUGACUUGUAAAGACCUUUCAAUUCUUUUGGGAUAAAUGCACCUAUCAUCAUUCGUGUGAACAACACCAACCACUUUCACCACUUCUAUAACUAUUGACUGAUCUUUUUCUUUGUAAUAUAGGAAAAAACUAAUCAAAUAUCUAAGCACAACUCUUAGCAACGGAUAUCUUGGUUCUC